UACGUAGGGUGCGAGCGUUGUCCGGAAUUACUGGGCGUAAAGAGCUCGUAGGUGGUUUGUCGCGUUGUCCGUGAAAACUCACAACUCAAUUGUGGGCGUGCGGGCGAUACGGGCAGACUGGAGUACUGCAGGGGAGACUGGAAUUCCCGGUGUAGUGGUGAAAUGCGUAGAUAUCGGGAGGAACACCAGUGGCGAAGGCGACUACCUGGCCUGUUCUUGACGCUGAGGCGCGAAAGCUAGGGGAGCAAACGGG
rnacentral:rRNA from 1 species